rnacentral:rRNA from 1 species
GAUGAACGCUGGCGGCGUGCCUAAUACAUGCAAGUCGAGCGAACAGAUAAGGAGCUUGCUCCUUUGACGUUAGCGGCGGACGGGUGAGUAACACGUGGAUAACCUACCUAUAAGACUGGAAUAACUCCGGGAAACCGGGGCUAAUGCCGGAUAACAUUUUGAACCGCAUGGUUCUAUAGUGAAAGACGGUUUUGCUAUCACUUAUAGAUGGACCCGCGCCGUAUUAGCUAGUUGGUAAGGUAACGGCUUACCAAGGCAACGAUGCGUAGCCGACCUGAGAGGGUGAUCGGCCACACUGGAACUGAGACACGGUCCAGACUCCUACGGGAGGCAGCAGUAGGGAAUCUUCCGCAAUGGGCGAAAGCCUGACGGAGCAACGCCGCGUGAGUGAUGAAGGUCUUCGGAUCGUAAAACUCUGUUAUUAGGGAAGAACAAAUGUGUAAGUAACUGUGCACGUCUUGACGGUACCUAAUCAGAAAGCCACGGCUAACUACGUG